rnacentral:tRNA from 1 species
GGUUUGUGGCUCAGUGGCAGAGCGCUCGCCUAGCACAUGCAAAGCCCUGGGUUCAAUCCUCAGCACCA